GACGAACGCUGGCGGCGUGCUUAACACAUGCAAGUCGAACGGAAAGGCCCUGCUUUUGUGGGGUGCUCGAGUGGCGAACGGGUGAGUAACACGUGAGUAACCUGCCCUUGACUUUGGGAUAACUUCAGGAAACUGGGGCUAAUACCGGAUAGGAGCUCCUGCUGCAUGGUGGGGGUUGGAAAGUUUCGGCGGUUGGGGAUGGACUCGCGGCUUAUCAGCUUGUUGGUGGGGUAGUGGCUUACCAAGGCUUUGACGGGUAGCCGGCCUGAGAGGGUGACCGGCCACAUUGGGACUGGGAUACGGCCCAGAACCCUACGGGAGGCAGCAGUGGGGAAUAAUGCACAAUGGGCGGAAGCCUGAUGCAGCAACGCCGCGUGCGGGAUGACGGCCUUCGGGUUGUAAACCGCUUUCGCCUGUGACGAAGCGUGAGUGACGGGAAUGGGUAAAGAAGCAACGGCUAACUACGUG
rnacentral:rRNA from 1 species